rnacentral:rRNA from 1 species
GACGAACGCUGGCGGCGUGCUUAACACAUGCAAGUCGAACGGAAAGGCCCUGCUUUUGUGGGGUGCUCGAGUGGCGAACGGGUGAGUAACACGUGAGUAACCUGCCCUUGACUUUGGGAUAACUUCAGGAAACUGGGGCUAAUACCGGAUAGGAGCUCCUGCGGCAUGGUGGGGGUUGGAAAGUUUCGGCGGUUGGGGAUGGACUCGCGGCUUAUCAGCUUGUUGGUGGGGUAGUGGCUUACCAAGGCUUGGACGGGUAGCCGGCCUGGGAGGGUGACCGGCCACAUUGGGACUGAGAGACGGACCAGACGCCUACGGGAGGCAGCAGUGGGGAAUAUUGCACAGUGGGCGGAAGCCUGAUACGGCGGCGCCGGGUGCGGGAUGACGGCCUUCGGGUUGUAAACCGCUUUCGCCUGUGACGAAGCGUGAGUGACGGUAAUGGGUAAAGAAGCACCGGCUAACUACGUG